rnacentral:rRNA from 1 species
GCCAACAGCCAUAUCACCCUGCAACUCACAACUGGCAACCCACGCAGGUGUGAGCCUGGUCAGUACCUGGAUGGGAGACCUCCUGGGAAAAACCAAGGUUGCUGCUGGAA